rnacentral:rRNA from 1 species
GACGAACGCUGGCGGCGUGCUUAACACAUGCAAGUCGAACGAUGAACCACUUCGGUGGGGAUUAGUGGCGAACGGGUGAGUAACACGUGGGCAAUCUGCCCUGCACUCUGGGACAAGCCC